AGAUUAAGUUAUUAAGGGCGCACGGUGGAUGCCUUGGCACUAGAAGCCGAUGAAGGACGUUACUAACGACGAUAUGCUUUGGGGAGCUGUAAGUAAGCUUUGAUCCAGAGAUUUCCGAAUGGGGAAACCCAGCAUGAGUUAUGUCAUGUUAUCGAUAUGUGAAUACAUAGCAUAUCAGAAGGCACACCCGGAGAACUGAAACAUCUUAGUACCCGGAGGAAGAAAAAGAAAAUUCGAUUCCCUUAGUAGCGGCGAGCGAAACGGGAAGAGCCCAAACCAACAAGCUUGCUUGUUGGGGUUGUAGGACACUCUAUACGGAGUUACAAAGGACGACAUUAGACGAAUCAUCUGGAAAGAUGAAUCAAAGAAGGUAAUAAUCCUGUAGUCGAAAAUGUUGUCUCUCUUGAGUGGAUCCUGAGUACGACGGAACACGUGAAAUUCCGUCGGAAUCUGGGAGGACCAUCUCCUAAGGCUAAAUACUCUCUAGUGACCGAUAGUGAACCAGUACCGUGAGGGAAAGGUGA
rnacentral:rRNA from 2 species